UACGGAGGGAGCUAGCGUUAUUCGGAAUUACUGGGCGUAAAGCGCACGUAGGCGGCUUUGUAAGUUAGAGGUGAAAGCCUGGAGCUCAACUCCAGAAUUGCCUUUAAGACUGCAUCGCUUGAAUCCAGGAGAGGUGAGUGGAAUUCCGAGUGUAGAGGUAAAAUUCGUAGAUAUUCGGAAGAACACCAGUGGCGAAGGCGGCUCACUGGACUGGUAUUGACGCUGAGGUGCGAAAGCGUGGGGAGCAAACAGG
rnacentral:rRNA from 1 species